UACAGAGGUCCCAAGCGUUGUUCGGAAUUACUGGGCGUAAAGGGCUCGUAGGCGGCCAACUAAGUCGGAUGUGAAAUCCCCAGGCUUAACCUGGGAACUGCAUCCGAUACUGGAUGGCUUGAAUCCGGGAGAGGGAUGCAGAAUUCCAGGUGUAGCGGUGAAAUGCGUAGAUAUCUGGAGGAACACCGGUGGCGAAGGCGGCAUCCUGGACCGGUAUUGACGCUGAGGAGCGAAAGCCAGGGGAGCAAACGGG
rnacentral:rRNA from 1 species